GAAAUGCGAUAAGUGCUGUGAAUUGCAGAAUUCCGUGAAUCAUCGAAUCUUUGAACGCACAUUGCGCCCGCUUGUACUCUGGCGGGCGUGCCUGUUCGAGCGUCAUUUCGAGCAUCGAGCCCCCGGGCUCGCGUUGGGGAACUGCGGCCGCGAGCAGGCCCCGAAAACCAGUGGCGGGCUCGCCGUCACCCCGAGCGUAGUAGCUUCCGUUUCUCGCUCCGGGGCGUGGCGCGGGACCCGGCCGUUAAAGGGCAGUUGACAACCCCCAACAUACCCAGGUUGACCUCGGAUCAGGUAGGAAUACCCGCUGAACUUAA
rnacentral:misc_RNA from 1 species